GCCGGGCGCGGUGGCAUGUGCCUGUAAUCCCAGCUACUCCCAGCUACUCGGAAGGCUGAGCCUGAAGGAUCCCUUGAAUCCAGGAGUUCUGGGCUGCAGUGUGCUAUGCCGAUUGGGUGUCUGCACUAAGUUCGGCAUCAAUAUGGUAACCUCCCAGGAGCAGGGGGAACACCAGGUUGCCUAAGGAGGGGUAAACCGGCCCAGGUUGGAAAAUAUUACAGCCCAGCGCUGGUGGCUCAUGUCUGUAAUCCUAGCUACUCAGGAGGCUGAGAUCUGAAGACCACGGUUCA
rnacentral:sRNA from 1 species